GUAGGUGGCAAGCGUUGUCCGGAAUUAUUGGGCGUAAAGCGCGCGCAGGCGGUCCUUUAAGUCUGAUGUGAAAGCCCACGGCUCAACCGUGGAGGGUCAUUGGAAACUGGGGGACUUGAGUACAGAAGAGGAAAGCGGAAUUCCAAGUGUAGCGGUGAAAUGCGUAGAGAUUUGGAGGAACACCAGUGGCGAAGGCGGCUUUCUGGUCUGUAACUGACGCUGAGGCGCGAAAGCGUGGGGAGCAAACAGGGAUUAGAUACCCUGGUAGUCCACGCCGUAAACGAUGAGUGCUAAGUGUUAGGGGGUUUCCCGCCCCUUAGUGCUGCAGCUAACGCAUAAGCACUCCGCCUGGGGAGUACGGCCGCAAGGCUG
rnacentral:rRNA from 1 species